GUGACUGCGUACCUUUUGUAUAAUGGGUCAGCGACUUAUAUUCUGUAGCAAGGUUAACCGAAUAGGGGAGCCGGAGGGAAACCGAGUCUUAAUUGGGCGUUAAGUUGCAGGGUAUAGACCCGAAACCCGGUGAUCUAGCCAUGGGCAGGUUGAAGGUUGGGUAACACUAACUGGAGGACCGAACCGACUAAUGUUGAAAAAUUAGCGGAUGACCUGUGGCUGGGGGUGAAAGGCCAAUCAAACCGGGAGAUAGCUGGUUCUCCCCGAAAGCUAUUUAGGUAGCGCCUCGUGAACUCAUCUCCGGGGGUAGAGCACUGUUUCGGCUAGGGGGCCAUCCCGGCUUACCAACCCGAUGCAAACUGCGAAUACCGGAGAAUGUUAUCACGGGAGACACACGGCGGGUGCUAACGUCCGUCGUGAAGAGGGAAACAACCCAGACCGCCAGCUAAGGUCCCAAAGUCAUGGUUAAGUGGGAAACGAUGUGGGAAGGCCCAGACAGCCAGGAUGUUGGCUUAGAAGCAGCCAUCAUUUAAAGAAAGCGUAAUAGCUCACUGGUCGAGUCGGCCUGCGCGGAAGAUGUAACGGGGCUAAACCAUGCACCGAAGCUGCGGCAGCGAACGUAUCACUUAAAGCGAUUCAGCGGGUUACGAUUGACGGAGCGAAGCGACGUCAAAGCGUAUACAAAGUCGAGUCGGUUUAAGGAUACGUUCGUUGGGUAGGGGAGCGUUCUGUAAGCCUGUGAAGGUGGCCUGUGAGGGUUGCUGGAGGUAUCAGAAGUGCGAAUGCUGACAUAAGUAACGAUAAAGCGGGUGAAAAGCCCGCUCGCCGGAAGACCAAGGGUUCCUGUCCAACGUUAAUCGGGGCAGGGUGAGUCGACCCCUAAGGCGAGGCCGAAAGGCGUAGUCGAUGGGAAACGGGUUAAUAUUCCCGUACUUGGUGUUACUGCGAAGGGGGGACGGAGAAGGCUAUGUUGGCCGGGCGACGGUUGUCCCGGUUUAAGCGUGUAGGCUGGUUUUCCAGGCAAAUCCGGAAAAUCAAGGCUGAGGCGUGAUGACGAGGCACUACGGUGCUGAAGCAACAAAUGCCCUGCUUCCAGGAAAAGCCUCUAAGCAUCAGGUAACAUCAAAUCGUACCCCAAACCGACACAGGUGGUCAGGUAGAGAAUACCAAGGCGCUUGA
rnacentral:rRNA from 1 species